AUUUCCGGGAAGAUGGCGGCGCACAAGUCAGGUCCGGCACAUGUUUCCGCGGAGCGGACCCAGCAAUGACGGAUGAUAUCACCUCUUCUUCUCUGGUGAGAGUCUGAGGAUAGAGACUUUUUUCUCACCAUGAAUGUCACCCCAGAGGUCAAGAGUCGUGGGAUGAAGUUUGCUGAGGAGCAGCUGCUAAAGCAUGGAUGGACUCAAGGUAGGACAUGACCCUGCCAAGGAGUUCACAAACCACUGGUGGAAUGAGCUCUUCAACAAGACUGCGGCCAACUUGGUAGUGGAAACUGGGCAGGAUGGAGUACAGAUAAGGAGCCUUUCUAAGGAGACCACCCGUUAUAAUCAUCCCAAGCCCAACUUGCUGUAUCAGAAGUUUGUGAAGAUGGCUACAUUGACUUCAGGUGGAGAGAAGCCAAACAAAGACUUGGAGAGCUGCAGUGAUGACGACAACCAGGGGUCCAAGUCCCCAAAGAUUCUGACUGAUGAGAUGCUGCUCCAAGCCUGUGAGGGGCGAACAGCACACAAG
rnacentral:lncRNA from 1 species